rnacentral:lncRNA from 1 species
UCGAUACGGGUGCGUCGGUGCAACGUACCUGGAGAAACUGCAUUCGCAAAGCCUGUGCCGAACUCUCCAUACUUGAAGCGUUCUAGGGCCUACAUGAACCCGUGGGCCACGCACACAUGGGAUACGGCACGCAGCCGCGCUUUUCUCCCACUCCCGACCACUCUCCCGACCACUCCCGGAACUCCCUCCGGCUCCAAAUCGUCCCACGAAUCGCCUUCCAUGAGGAGGUCUCCAAACCUG